GAUGGACGCUAGCUACAGGCUUAACACAUGCAAGUCGCGGGGCAGCGUGGGGGUUGCUUGCAAUCCCCGAUGGCGACCGGCGCACGGGUGAGUAACGCGUAUCCAACCUGCCCUUCACCACGGGAUAACCCGGCGAAAGUCGGACUAAUACCGUAUGUUGUCCAUUGACGGCAUCCGAUUUGGACGAAAGGCUUGGCGGUGAGGGAUGGGGAUGCGUCCGAUUAGCCAGACGGCGGGGUAACGGCCCACCGUGGCUACGAUCGGUAGGGGUUCUGAGAGGAAGGUCCCCCACACUGGAACUGAGACACGGUCCAGACUCCUACGGGAGGCAGCAGUGAGGAAUAUUGGUCAAUGGGCGUAAGCCUGAACCAGCCAAGUAGCGUGCAGGAGGACGGCCCUAUGGGUUGUAAACUGCUUUUAUGCGGGGAUAAAGUGGCCCACGUGUGGGCUUUUGCAGGUACCGCAUGAAUAAGGACCGGCUAAUUCCGUG
rnacentral:rRNA from 1 species